rnacentral:other from 1 species
AAAACGCUGCGUUGUACGUUGAAGAAUGAGUUUCAACCGAUGGCAAUAGAAAGGGAGUUCUACAUCGAAACGGGAAUGUCAUGCCUCCCUACUUUUGGUAGGUUUGAGGACGACAGGAACGUUUCUGCGAACACCCACCUGGUGGAGUGUGGUUGAGAAACUGCAUUCAACCAACGGCAAACGCGGCGGUACG